rnacentral:rRNA from 1 species
GACGAACGCUGGCGGCGUGCUUAACACAUGCAAGUCGAACGGAAAGGCCCUGCUUUUGUGGGGUGCUCGAGUGGCGAACGGGUGAGUAACACGUGAGUAACCUGCCCUUGACUUUGGGAUAACUUCAGGAAACUGGGGCUAAUACCGGAUAGGAGCUCCUGCUGCAUGGUGGGGGUUGGAAAGUUUCGGCGGCUGGGGAUGGACUCGCGGCUUAUCAGCUUGUUGGUGGGGUAGUGGCUUACCAAGGCUUUGACGGGUAGCCGGCCUGAGAGGGUGACCGGACACAUUGGGACUGAGAUACGGCCCAGACUCCUACGGGAGGCAGCAGUGGGGAAUAUUGCACAAUGGGCGGAAGCCUGAUGCAGCAACGCCGCGUGCGGGAUGACGGCCUUCGGGUUGUAAACCGCUUUCGCCUGUGACGAAGCGUGAGCGACGGUAAUGGGUAAAGAAGCACCGGCUAACUACGUG